GCGUGCCUGGUGUAGAGUGAGAGCUUGUGAGGAAGAGGCUGGCCAGAUGUCAGGUGGUUGGAAGUGGUGGUGGCACUGAUAUACCCCAGAAUAAAAGAACAGAGAGGAAAUGGUGCCAGACUUCUGCGGAGGCAAAGAAACAGCACUGGAAAUUACAGACAAAGCACAAAGACCAAGAACUUACAAACUCUAUGGCUGUCAGCGGGCUGCCUACACAUCUCCCCAUUAAAGACGACCAGCUCUAACCUGCCCUUCCAAAGAGCUUGCUGAUGGGAACAACGGUGGGCUUCCUGAGCGGUUCAUUCCCCCAUACUCAGAGGGUCGCCUAGACACUCCAAUCUUCUUCCUUCAAUCGUGACACCAUCUGAGGCUGACUCUGAGAGGUGACAAGCUCUGGGAGCCCCAGCCCUGCCCUCUGUUCUUGCAGACACCCAGAAUGGGGGCCACAGCCUGUGAAAUGAGCUAGUCCUCAGUCCCAUGAGCAUGUGCCUGAAUGCAGGGACACAGUGCUGUGGUGGUCACCCCAAAGGUCUGCUCCCUGU
rnacentral:lncRNA from 1 species